GAUAUCCGAAUUGAAUAAAG
rnacentral:misc_RNA from 1 species